CACCGAAAGGUGGGGUAAUACCGGAUGGUAUGAUAUUUUUUAGGAUUUAUCAUUAAAGGUGGCUUCGGCUUCCGCUUUAGGAGGAGUUCAUUUCCUAUUAGCUUGUUGGUGAGGUAACGGCUCACCAAGGCAGAGAUGGGUAGGGGGCCUUAGCGGGUUUUCCCCCACACUGGGACUGAGACACUGCCCAGGUUCCUACGGGAGGCUGCAAUCGAGAAUCCUCCGCAAUGGACGAAAGUCUGACGGGGUGACGCCGCGUGGAUGAUGAAGGCCUAUCAGGUUGUAAAAUCCUUACAGGGAGUAUGAAAUUUACAUUGUAUAAUAUGCAGUGUAUUUGACGUCAAUCCCAAAUGAAGUCACGGCUAAAUUCGUGCCAGCAGCCGCGGUAAUACGAAUGUGGCAAGCGUUGUUCGGAAUCACUGGGCAUAAAGCGCACGUAGGUGGUUUAGUAAGUUAACUUUGAAAUCCCCCGGCUCAACCGGGGAACAGGAGUUGAUACUGCUAGACUAGAGUACAGAAGGGGAGAGUGGAAUUCUUGGUGUAGCGGUGGAAUGCGAAGAUAUCAAGGAGAAGGCCGGUGGCGAAAGCGACUCUCUGGUCUGAAACUGACACUGAGGUGCGAAAGCGUAGGUAGCGAACGGGAUUAGAUACCCCGGUAGUCUACGCCGUAAACGAUGGGCACUAGAUGGUGGAAGCGCCGAUAGUUUUCUCCGUCGAAGCAAAUGCGUUAAGUGCCCCGCCUGGGGAGUAUGGCCGCAAGGUUAAAACUCAAAGGAAUUGACGGGGGCCCACACAAGCGGUGGAGGAUGCGGCUUAAUUCGAGGAUACGCGUAGAACCUUACCAAGGUUUGACAUGUAGGGAUUAAUCUGGUGAAAGCCAGAGGAUUACCUUACGGUGUAACCUACACAGGUGCUGCAUGGCUGUCGACAGUUCGUGUCGUGAGAUGUUAGGUUAAGUCCUGAAACGAGCGAAACCCCUAUGCUUAAUUGCCAGCGCGUCAUGG
rnacentral:rRNA from 1 species